rnacentral:rRNA from 1 species
CUACGGAGGGUGCAAGCGUUACUCGGAAUCACUGGGCGUAAAGCGCGCGCAGGCGGGCUGAUAAGUUGGAUGUGAAAGCCUACGGCUCAACCGUAGAACUGCAUCCAAAACUGUCAGUCUAGAGUCUGGGAGGGGAAGAUGGAAUUAGUUGUGUAGGGGUAAAAUCCGUAGAGAUAACUAGGAAUACCAAAAGCGAAGGCGAUCUUCUGGAACAGUACUGACGCUGAGGCGCGAAAGCGUGGGGAGCAAACAGGAUUAGAAUCCCCAGUAGUCC